GAUCCAGUGGCCUAGUGGUUAGAGCAUCCGCCUCAGAUGCGAGAGGUCGUGGGUUCGAUCCCCAGUCGAGUCA